UUACGGCCAUAUCACACUGAAACACUGGUUCCCGUAUGAUCACCGAAAUUAAACAAUAUUGAACCUGGUCAGUACCUAGACCAGUGACUGCUUGGGAAUAAGAGG